rnacentral:lncRNA from 1 species
GACAGCCAUCCAUCUGCCUCUGCCUGGGAGUAGAGAUGCGUGCCACCAUACCUUGCUUGAGGGAUUUUUAAAAUACAGUACUGACUGACCUGAUGUAUUUUGUGGCAAGUAGUGUUAUAAGUAGUGAAAUUUAAGAAAUUUAAUCUAAAUGUUCCAUAUUUCCUUUAAAAAAAAAGACAUUUUAGUAGAAAAGGGAAAAUGAAAAGCAAUAGCAGCUAGGUAAUGUAAACCAAGAUUACACACUCACAGAAAAGGCAAAUCAAGGAGCAGAGUCCCUCAACACAGUUACUCAGCACAGUGAAGACACGAAGGACACACCGUGUAACAAACAGGGCCGCAGUUGUAAACUGUCGUUUCCCUUCUAGGACAUCAACAUUGCACUCUAGUGUUGGGAAGCAGCAGAGUUUACAAGAGUGGGUAGGAAACAGCUGUACAGGCUAGGAGUAAUUUACACAUUAAAAAAUUAAUUCUUUUCUAUUUAUAAUUUCAAACUUUCAUAAAGUAUACUAAGAAUUUCACAAAUUUCUUUUCAGUGAACUGAACUCUUUUUUGCAAUGAUAGGCCAUUAAAUAUUGCAUUCACACAAAAUGGACAUUUUUAAUCACCUAGAAUAGUGAAAAUAUUUUAAUUUGCAGUGUCUUUUUUUGUGACUGGAUAUAUUAAUGUUCCUCUGAGUAGUAUUGAUAAUUGGUUCAGAAGAGAAACUCAAUGAAAUAAGAAUAGUAUUUAUUCAUGGUGAUCAAUUAAAUUAUUUGCCUAAUUUAAGGAAACUAAAUACUAUGCAUAACUGAAUUUAUUUGCAAUUCUCAGUUUGAUUUGAGGUAACAGAAGAGAGUCUAAGUCUACCUGUGGAAUAUGUUGUUUUAUUUUCAAUGUUUAGGGUUACAUUUAAACAUAGUUGGUUUGGGAAAAUGACAUAUAAUUUUAAGUUAACCUGCAUGCUGUAAAUGUGUUUAAAUAAAGGAAAAUCUUUUUUGAAAUGUAAAAAAAAAGAAAAGAAAAGAAAGCAGGCUGAGCAAGCCAGGGGAAGCAAACCAGUAAGAAACAUCCCUCCAUGGCCUCUGCAUCAGCUCCUGCUUCCUAACCUGCUUGAGUUCCAGUCCUGACUUCCUUGGUGAUAAACAGCAGUGUGGAAGUGUAAGCUAAAUAAACCCUUCCCCCCAUCCCCUGCUUCUUGGUCAUGAUGUUUGUGCAGGAAUAGAAACCCUGACUAAGAGUCUUCCUAACUGGUAUCCGUCCUCAUUCAUGAUGUCUUAAUGCUGCUUACGCCAGCUUAGUUGUAGAUUUCCCAGCACACCUCACCAAAUCACUAUAUAUGAUGAGUGACUACUGCUCUGUCACAUUUAAGCUUUCAUUAUGCAGCAAAUGUGUGUCACAUGACUUGAGCAAUCAACUGUUCAGAUUUACGGGGAUUUGUAUACAACUUUAUACUUAGAUAUUUUGCCAGGUUUAGAAUACCCUCUCUCAUGCAAUAAUUCACUAACUCACCAGUGAAAUGGAUAAUGUUGUAGAAGCUCAGGGCAGGGAUCUAGGAAGAAGAUUUGAAAGUCUGUAGUAUGUUGGAUUUAUAAUAAUGAUUGGAUUUGAAUUUGAGUAGUUCAUCUCAAAUUCUACUAGACUGCCCUCAAAGAUGGAAAUGAGGUUCCUAAGAUGCUGCCUGGCAUUGUCCUCUGGCCUACAAACACACACACACACACACACACACACACACACACACACACACACAAAAGUACACAUGCAAGCACACAUGUGUGCGUAUGUCUGCAUGCAUACAUACAAUGCAAAUACAAAAGAAAAAUUACUGGAUAAUGACUUAAAAUAAACCAUGCCAAUGUACACUAAAACUAGUAGGUAUAAAUGAGGUGAGGGAGAAGAAGCCUAUUUUCAAAGCAUCAAUUCACAAAGUUUUUCAUUAAUAGAGAUAACAAGCCAGACGUAUCUACUGGGAUAUAAUUAAGUAGGUAGAAUUAAUAUAAUCAUAAUUAGGAAAAUUAGACAUCAUGUAUAAUCUGACAGAAUAUACUGAGAAAAAUGCAAUGUAUUGAGCAGAAAUGUAUAGCUCAGACUUAAUCAUAAAGAAAAAAACAGAUGAUCACAAAAUGAAGGAUAUGCCGAAAUAUUAGCCAAUCUUCAAACAUGCUAAAAUGAUGAGAAGUAGGAAAAAAUACAUGAGUGCAAGAGGACACUGCCUGUAUUCUGAAUAGAGGUGUCCCAAAAGCUUAUUAAAGGAUAGGAGCAGAGAGCCAUUCAAAGAAGUACUUGUCAUACAAAGUACAGACAAAAACCAAUCUUAAACUGAAAACAGCAUGCUAGGUCCAGAAGCAACUUAGUAAUACCUGGAUGCUAGAGAAAUAAAAAUGCAGGCAGAGAGAAGAGCUGUGGCCAAAUUAUGAUGGGCCAUUUUGUCUUGUCUUCUUCACUGUGCUGUGAUUGUGGAGUUUGCAUUGGGGCAGACACUGACUUGACAUAUCCCUCAGAGUCUCCUGAGAAGCAGAUAUGAAGUAUCAAAUGUAGAGAAGUUUUAAGAGAAAUGCCUUCAUGUAAGAACAUAGAAAAGAUGAAAUUAAAGAGAUUAAUAAUCUUGGGGUGUAAGCUGGGCUCUUAAUGAAGGAACUGUGCCAGGAAGGAUGAAUGAAAGAAAUAGCAAAGUCAUUUGUGAGUCCUUGACCUAGAUUCAACAAAGUAGUCCAGUGCCAAGAAAUAGGUCUGGUAUAGUAUUUGUACCAUACUGGGUCAUCUGGAGGGGGUGGGCUGUGGU